rnacentral:rRNA from 1 species
UACGGAGGGUGCAAGCGUUAUCCGGAUUCACUGGGUUUAAAGGGUGCGUAGGUGGGCGAGUAAGUCAGUGGUGAAAUCUCCGGGCUUAACCCGGAAACUGCCAUUGAUACUAUUUGUCUUGAAUACUGUGGAGGUCAGCGGAAUAUGUCAUGUAGCGGUGAAAUGCUUAGAUAUGACAUAGAACACCAAUUGCGAAGGCAGCUGGCUACACAAAUAUUGACACUGAGGCACGAAAGCGUGGGGAUCAAACAGG